AGAAGACUACAGAUUGGCCAUACCAUUGACUUCAGGUUCUGUCAGUGUCCAGCUAGUCUUAGCUCAGGCACAGUAUCCAUGUCUGAGCCCCAUCAACAUUUCCCUAGCCACAGCUUCUUAGUUGAGUGAAGUCUCUGGUUCAUUCCUCCAGUGGACUUGGGAAGCAGUUCAUCCUAUGUCCCUUUAGAGCACAAGAAAGAUAUUAUCUCUUGGGGCAAAAGUUGCUUCUCAAUUUUUUAUUCUUUCCAACAGAUGUGGAGGAGGUGAGAGCCAAAGCCAGGGGCAUGAAACCAAAGGCUGAAAUUUCCAAAGGCAAGAAAAAAGUCCCCAUUUCACCUAAGAAAGCAGUAGAGGAACAUAAAGCAGGAAAAACCAAACUCCGGGCAACCUCAGAAGCACCCCCCCAAGACCAGAAAGCAAAAGGGAUCACCUGACAUGCAAGCAAAAUCCAAAGGGGCAGCUACCGUGUCCAAAGCUAGAAGAACUGGGGGAGCUAAGGAGGGCGGCGAUGAGCCAAAGACAGUUACUCAGAACAGGAGCAAGUUGGACACGGGCAUGAAAUCUUCUGCCUCCCAAUCUAAGGUGUCUAGGGAGUCAGACAUGGUCAAAGAUCAGCCAGACGGCAAGGGAAAGAAACCUGAGGCCUCUAAAGGAUUCAAGAAAACUGGGAGAAGCCCCACAGGUUCUUCAUCCAAGCCAGCCAGCAGGAAGAGGAAAUAGGUGCAAGAGGUUAAUUGGCCCAGGAUGGGAUUCUUAACAGAGGGAACUUGAUUUUGAAAUGAAUGGAAUUUCUUUUUACUUUUAAAGAGCGAGACAGAGAUACUUGUAUCUACCUGUUAAUAAAGUUUUCUUUUUGCAUUA